GAUGAACGCUAGCGGCAGGCCUAAUACAUGCAAGUCGAACGGUGUCUUCGGACAUAGUGGCGCACGGGUGCGUAACACGUAUGCAACCUACCUUACAUUGGGGGAUAGCCUUUCGAAAGGGAGAUUAAUACCGCAUAAGACAGUAGCUGGGCAUCCAGCAGCUGGUAAAGAUUUAUCGAUGUAAGCUGGGCAUGCGUCCAAUUAGCUAGUUGGUGAGGUAACGGCUCACCAAGGCAAUGAUUGGUAGGGGAACUGAGAGGUCAAUCCCCCACACUGGCACUGAGAUACGGGCCAGACUCCUACGGGAGGCAGCAGUAGGGAAUAUUGGGCAAUGGACGCAAGUCUGACCCAGCCAUGCCGCGUGCAGGAUGAAGGCGUUAUGCGUUGUAAACUGCUUUUAUACAGGAAGAAACGACUCUUGCGGGAGGCAUUGACGGUACUGUAUGAAUAAGCACCGGCUAACUCCGUGCCAGCCGCCGCAGUAAGAC
rnacentral:rRNA from 1 species